rnacentral:rRNA from 1 species
GACGAACGCUGGCGGCGUGCUUAACACAUGCAAGUCGAACGGUAAGGCCCUUCGGGGUACACGAGUGGCGAACGGGUGAGUAACACGUGGGUGAUCUGCCCUGCACUUCGGGAUAAGCCUGGGAAACUGGGUCUAAUACCGGAUAGGACCCUGGGAUGCAUGUCCUGGGGUGGAAAGCUUUUGCGGUGUGGGAUGGGCCCGCGGCCUAUCAGCUUGUUGGUGGGGUGAUGGCCUACCAAGGCGACGACGGGUAGCCGGCCUGAGAGGGUGACCGGCAGCACUGGGACUGAGAUACGGGCCAGACGCGGACGGGAGGCAGCAGUGGGGAAUAUUGCACAAUGGGCGCAAGCCUGAUGCGGCGACGCCGCGUGGGGGAUGACGGCCUUCGGGUUGUAAACCUCUUUCAGCACCGACGAAGCGCAAGUGACGGUAGGUGCAGAAGAAGGACCGGCCAACUACGUGCCAGCCGCCGCAGUAA